rnacentral:rRNA from 1 species
CUUGACUGUAGCUUGGAAUUGGGUUCGGGCUCUUCUUGCGCAGCCUAGGUGGGAGGCGUUGAAGGUUUUCUUUCGGGGAAACUGGAGCCAACAGUGAGAGACCACUCUGGAGGAGCUAGAAUUCUAAUGGCGUUCCUUGAAGCAGGACGCUUGACAGUUUCAGGUGGGCAGUUUGACUGGGGCGGUCACCUCCUAAAAGGUAACGGAGGUGUGCAAAGGUUCCCUCAGGCUGGACGGAAAUCAGCCGGAGAGUGCAAAGGCAGAAGGGAGCUUGACUGCAAGACCUACAAGUCGAGCAGGGGCGAAAGCCGGCCUUAGUGAUCCGACGGUGCCGCAUGGGAGGGCCGUCGCUCAACGGAUAAAAGUUA